AAAGAAGAAGGAACCAGUCAAGUGAGCUGCUUUUCGCUCUGCUCUAAGUCAAGCCUGGAGGUUUCGUGUCUCAUUAUGAAUGUUACUGGGAAGCUGGUUACCCAGGAGAGAAACCGAAGGGUUCAUUAUGGAGUGGGAAGUGCACUUGGUGGAGUGACCUAAGACAGUGAAAAUGGCUGGGGAGCUAGAAGCAUGAUGAUUGUCUUGAAGCCUUGGGAAUUUAUGGCCUUUUUUCUCUUUUUGUCUGGAUGUUGAUUUUUCUCAGGACCAAGGGGAAUGCUUAAAGACUUUCCCUUGAUCUAAUUUUCCUAUUUGGCAAUGGAAAUGGAUCAACAAGCAUCAACUUUUGUGGAUCACAUGGUUGUUGAUGCUAUCUGGCAUGAUGAAAAGGUUGACUGUUGCCAACAAAUGGUUCUUUCUUGACAUUGCAUAUUGCCUGUUGCCUUUCUUCUAAGAUAUGCAGCGCAUUCAAGAUUUGAGAUUGAAUUAACCCAAUUACUUGGUAA